rnacentral:rRNA from 1 species
AUGAACGCUGGCGGCGUGCCUAACACAUGCAAGUCGAACGCUGUUCGAAAGGACAGAGUGGCGCACGGGUGAGGAACACGUAGCUGACCUGCCUCAGAGUGCGGGAUAACGCCCCGAAAGGGGUGCUAAUACCGCGUAAGCUCACCGGGAUUAGAAGCCGGGGAGAAAAGGCCUACGGGUCGCUGUGAGAGGGGGCUGCGGCGCAUCAGGUAGUUGGUGGGGUAACGGCCUACCAAGCCAACGACGCGUAGGGGGUCUGAGAGGAUGAUCCCCCACACUGGGACUGAGACACGGCCCAGACUCCUACGGGAGGCAGCAGUGAGGGAUAUUGCACAAUGGGGGCAACCCUGAUGCAGCGACGCCGCGUGGGCGAUGAAGGUCUUCGGAUCGUAAAGCCCUUUUUGAGGUGACGAGAACGGACGGUAGCCUCAGAAUAAGUCUCGGCUAACUACGU